GUGGGGAAUAUUGCACAAUGGGGGAAACCCUGAUGCAGCAACGCCGCGUGAAGGAAGAAGGUUUUCGGAUCGUAAACUUCUAUCAAUAGGGACGAAAGAAAUGACGGUACCUAAAUAAGAAGCCCCGGCUAACUACGUGCCAGCAGCCGCGGUAAUACGUAGGGGGCAAGCGUUAUCCGGAAUUACUGGGUGUAAAGGGAGCGUAGGCGGCAUGGUAAGCCAGAUGUGAAAGCCCGCGGCUUAACUGCGAGGAUUGCAUUUGGAACUAUCAAGCUAGAGUACAGGAGAGGAAAGCGGAAUUCCUAGUGUAGCGGUGAAAUGCGUAGAUAUUAGGAAGAACACCAGUGGCGAAGGCGGCUUUCUGGACUGAAACUGACGCUGAGGCUCGAAAGCGUGGGGAGCAAACAGGA
rnacentral:rRNA from 1 species